rnacentral:rRNA from 1 species
UACGGAGGGUGCAAGCAUUAAUCGGAUUUAUUGGGCGUAAAGGGCGCGUAGGCGGAGAUGUAAGUCAGAUGUGAAAUUCCGGGGCUCAACCCCGGAGCUGCAUUUGAAACUACAUCUCUAGAGGGUAGGCGGAGAAAACAGAAUUCCACAAGUAGCGGUGAAAUGCGUAGAUAUGUGGAAGAAUACCGGUGGCGAAGGCGGUUUUCUAGCUUACUCCUGACGCUGAAGCGCGAAAGCAAGGGGAUCAAACAGG